rnacentral:lncRNA from 1 species
AGUCCUGACAGUGGGCUUUUGGUGGCAGGGUGACUCUCUUGGCCCUGCCCAGGCUGGAACCCAGGCCAGGUACCUGCACUCAGGUCCAGACACAGAGAGGCCAGGCCCAGGGCAGCCAGAAGAGGCCCAAAUAUGCCAGGGCUGCAACAUCGCGUCCCCAGAUCUGACAAAUGCCAAGGACUUUGCCUACGCUGGAUGUGUAGCCGAAGACUGUCCCAGGCUGCUCAGAGGGGCGGAAGCAAACUCGCUGCAUCUCCAGAAGCCCCUCAGAGGUCAGGUUUAAGAUUCUUCCUCCACCUCAGCUGAAAGGAUUCAUCUUGCAGCACGGCCCACCUUGGAACCCUUUGUGUUUGCUGAAACUUUCUUUGUGAUUAUUCUUAUGUCACUGCAUAGCAUGUAAAUGUAUCACACCCCCCCCCCACCCAUUAUUAUUAUCUCCUAGUAUGCACCAGGCACUGGCCAUAAAUUAUUUCUAAUCAUCAUUAAAACUCUACCACGGUUAUCCUCCCUCUAUGGAUAGGAAAACUAAGGCUUGGAGGUUGAAGAGGUCAUGGAUCUUGUCCAAGGUCACUAAACUCAUAAAUGUCACAGUCAAAAUUUGAAUCUAGAUAGAGUUGUCAGCUCCAAAGAAGUUUGCUCAGUCAGUUCUUCCCCAAAUUAGCUUUUUAUCCAAAUUUGCUGAGAAGCUUUUUAAAAAUACAUCUUCUUUACAACAAAGCCAGAGAAAGAAUAAGGCAGCUCUCUGCACAACAAUAUGGUGCUCGUAUAUGCCUAGAACAUCUCCAGGAAGAAGGGCCGGUACAGGACCAGGUCAGCCUGUCCUCAUUACAUCAGCAGGGUGAGCCAAGGGAGGUUGCCUAAAAAUUCAACUGGCUGUCCCCAUGCCUUCUGCUCCCGCUUCUGGAAGGGAAGACAGGGCAGGGACCAUGUCCAGCUGCAGAAAAUCCCAGUGUUUUUCUGUGGCAUUGCCUGGUAAAGGCUGAACGUGGCUUUCGUGAGAGCUAAUCUGCCUGCCCAACCAGAUUGUGCUGUGGCUAAAAUUGCUGUGAGCUCGACAGUGCCUGAAGACUGGAGAAAACUGAGCCAUGUCUUGGAUGCUCUUGCGGGGCCUAGGGGAGUGCCAGGCCAGAAGGAGAACUGCCUGUGGACUCUCAGUAGGAAAGCAGCUAACGAGGUGAUGAGUGAGUGUCGCCUGGAAGUCUGGGGGCCAUUCCAUGUGGGUCACAUCGCCUGACCAGAGGGUUGGGUGCCUGGACAGGGCUGAGCUUGGGACUCCUUCCAGGGCCUGGCCUCAGCUGCUGGGCCUGCCGAGCAUGCCCCACAAGCACCCACGCACACAUACAAGUAUGGAGGCAGAGUGGAAGUUUGACUUUUGCAGAUCUCGUACAGCCUGGAGUAGAGAAGAGAAUUGGGAACUCUCAAUGUUGUGUGACCCUAGGCAAGUCCCUUCCCUGCCUUGUGCCUCAGUUUCCCUUUACAUACCAUGAGGAUGUUCCCAGUGUUGGUGUUUUAAUGCCUGCAGACAAGCUAAGCUCAUCAUCUGGUUCCCGGAAGAGAUCCUCCUUUUGUGGAAAGGCCACAGCCACUCUGCCACCCUGAGGCUCCCACUCCUCCUUCUCUGGAACCCUCUCCCUUGCCUGUAGGUCACGGGAAUGUCAAGAGCACCCAGGGAAGUGCCUGCUGCCAGUCAUCACUCACUGAUUAUGUGACAGCAGAGGAGCCAAGAAGCUGCUGGGAAUCGAGACACCCCCCCAUUCAGUCCCCACCAUCUCUGUCUUCAUGAGGUUCCCUGGGAGAAGCUCCUAUGUCUGGGAAUGGAAAUGUCUCCACCUGGAUAGGGACAAACAGGAGCUGGGGGCUGCAUCUUAAGACUUCUUGUCCCAUUAGUGCUGACCUCUGGAGACGGCUCCUGAAUUGUGCCCACUCCCCCACCUCCUCACCACACACAUGCUCUGGGCCGUGCGAGGCUCAGCUUGUCACGGACAAGCUAAAAUGAGGUGGCCUGAAUGCCCCUUAUCAUAGACAGCUUAUCUCCUGUGGUCACUCACCUGACAGACUCCAGAGAGCCACUCAGCGGGCCUCUCCCAGCCGCCUGCUUCUCAGCUCUGACUCUCCCUUGCCUUAAGGGGACACUGGAUUCCAGUGACCCUCCUAUUGGUCAGAGUUGGGCUGAGCACAGAGAAGGGGUAGAAUGCUCCUGGGAACUCGGAAAGCUCUGGGAUGCCAGCUUUUCCCACAUGUUCUCACUCACCCCUCUGUAAUACAGAUUCUGCAGCCCUGCCCCCCACACACACACUCCUACACCUCUGCUCUCAAAGUGAAGAAGUAGGCUAAUAUCUGUGGUACAUUUAUUUACCUACUCCCUGAGACUGCAGCUCCCUUAGUCAGUGUUGUGUCCUCCACUCAGGCUGGGGCUCCCUGAGGAUGGGGCUGUGUCUCCCCUCAGACUGGGGUUCCCCAAGGACAGGGCUGUGUCUCUCCUUAGGCUGGGGUCCCUGAGGGUGGGGCUGUGUCUCCCUGCAGAUUGGGGCUCCCUGAGGAUGGGGCUGUGUCUCCCUGAAGACUGGGGCUCCCUGAGGACAGGGCUGUGUCUCCCCUCAGGCUGGGGCUCCUUGAGGAUGGGACACUUUAAAGAAGAGAAAUUGACAGGUUGACCCUGGGGGAUCUUUGGGUCAAUAAAACAUUCUAUAGACCCUCAGUGGUCAGACUAGGAUGAUACCUUGA